GUCUUAGUCUUUAGACGAAAAAUGCAUAUUAGUUUUAGUCACAUUUAGUCAUUUUAAUCCUUCUUAGUUUUAGUCUAGUUUUAGUUGACGAAAACUAGACUAUAAUGUAAUUAGUUUUAGUCACAUUUAACAGCCAUAUUAAACUCAUUUUCUUCCCUUCUCAGGCCCAGGGACCCCCUGUGUUGUGUCUACAGCUGCAUAAUAGUCUAGCUUGCAGUACUUGGUUGUCCAUUAGAUGUCCCUCCUAUAGGACAGGUCUAUAGAUGUCCCUCCUAGGACAGGUCUAUAGAUGUCCCUCCUAUAGGACAGGUCUAUAGAUGUCCCUCCUAGGACAGGUCUAUAGAUGUCCCUCCUAUAGGACAGGUCUAUAGAUGUCCCUCCUAUAGGACAGGUCUAUAGAUGUCCCUCCUAGGACAGGUCUAUA
ensembl:lncRNA